rnacentral:lncRNA from 1 species
CUGUAGUGUUUUUUUUUUUUUUUUUCUUGGCCACACCUGUGGCAUAUGGAAGUUUCCAGGCUAGAGGUCAAGUCUGUGCUGCAACCACCAGCCUAUGCUACAACCAUAGCAACGCAGGAUCUAAGGUGCAUCUGUGACCUAUACCACAGCAUGCAGGAAUGUCAGAUCUUUAACCCACUGGUCAAAGCCAGUGAUGGAACCUGCAUCCUCAUGGAUAUUAGUCCAGUUCUUGACCUGCUGAACCACAACGGGAACUCCUAGUGUUUUUACCUUAAAGGACAAUCUGAAAAGACUGCUGAGUGAAAGUAUGUUUUUCAAUCUUAGUAUGUAUCUAGGUAACUUUAUGUGGCAGUUUAUUUCUGCCAGCAAUGUUUCACUCUGCCCACUUCAUUGCAUCUUCACCAAACUGAUGUCCACUGUUUCACUUUAUACUUAUUUGGUGGAUAAACAGUGGUAUCACACUCUUGCUUUCUUUUUAAAAAACAUAUCUUUAACUAUUAGUGAGGAUGAACAUACUUUGUGCUUGCUGACUUUUUCAAUGUCCUGUGCUGUGAAUUGAGUGCUGAUUUCUCUCUUAUUUAUCAUUUUGUAUUAAGGACAAUUUUCAUACCACUAUAUAUAUUUAUUCUAGUCUACCUGUUCUUUUGACUGUGGUCUCUUAUAGUAUGAUAUUUAAAAUUUUUAUUUAGUAAAAGAUGCUUCUCUGGGCUUCCAACACUGUUAUAAAAACAUCAUCACCACUCUAAGACUAUGUGAAUAUUUUCUUUAAGUAGGUAUACCCCUGUAUUGUGUACCAUUUGUUGAGAUUAAUUUUAGAAAUUCUGCAAUAGUUUUUUUAAAAACAAUUUUAAAAAAGAAGAAAUGAGUUGAGGCAAGUCAGAGAGAGCAAGAAAGGAGGAUGGAAUUGACUGUCUCAUGAUUCUAUAUAAGGAAAAUCCUACAUUUUAGAAAAAGAGAUUUGCAAUGUUGUGAAUUCUUCCAUCAUUACAAACUCUCAUUCUCAGAAAGUGCACAAUUUAAAAAUGUAUUUCGCUCUAUUAGUGUGGACGGAAUUUUAGAUGGAUGUACAUCAUUUUAUAUUUAAACAUACAUUCCAGCUAUUUUCAUUCUCAACUUUUUAGAAUAAUGUUUACCCAUUAAGCUAAAAAAGAUAGUAGAAAAGGAAGAACAGGGUAUCUGGGAAGGUUAUGCAAUCUUUCCUAUAUUAACCAAAUACAAAUAUAGAAAUUCUCUAAUUUAAAAUGUUACAUAUACUUCAACUAAAGUAGCAUAAAUAUUAUUUAAGACAAUAGCAUGCUAAAAAAAGUCACUGCAUGAUUGUUUAUUUAAAAUAUUAUGACUCUGGAUGUAAAUACAUAUACGCUUACAUAAUUUAUUAUUCAUAUAAACCCUCAAUUAAAAUGCUAAUUCUUCAUCCACGAUGCCUUUUUCCUAAUAAGCAUAAUAAUAAAUUUUCUAUCUCAUUGAAAGUGUUUAAAGCUUUUUAAAUCUUGAUUUGUGAAGAAAUUACUAAAAAAUAACUUAAGCUUAACUACAUCAAACAAUAGUAUUGUUUGCAAUGCUGUCACAGAUUUCUCCAUGGCAAUAGUCACGUAUCGUUAUUGCACAAUUUACAGGUACAGGUUAUUAUGUGCAUACACACUCUCUACAUAAUGACAGUGUCUUCACUGCAACUCGCUCAACACAUUUAAAAUUAUGAAUACAAUUUACAAAAUCCUUUAACAAUAUACUUUUAAGAUAAAACUAUCCUGAGGAUAUUACAAAAUUCAUUUUACCAGCCCUUCAUUUCUUUGCUUCAUUUGACUCUUUAAUUCCCAAGAUAAUAAUUGUCCAUAUUU